GGAGAAUUAGCUCAGCUGGGAGAGCAUCUGCCUUACAAGCAGAGGGUCGGAGGUUCGAACCCGUCAUUCUCCACCA
rnacentral:tRNA from 1 species